GGCUCAGAUUGAACGCUGGCGGCAUGCCUUACACAUGCAAGUCGAACGGUAGAGUAGCAAUACUUGAGAGUGGCGAACGGGUGAGUAAUAUAUCGGAACGUGCCCAGUCGUGGGGGAUAACGUAGAGAAAUUUACGCUAAUACCGCAUACGAUCUAUGGAUGAAAGCGGGGGAUCGCAAGACCUCGCGCGAUUGGAGCGGCCGAUAUCAGAUUAGGUAGUUGGUGAGGUAAAGGCUCACCAAGCCGACGAUCUGUAGCUGGUCUGAGAGGACGACCAGCCACACUGGGACUGAGACACGGCCCAGACUCCUACGGGAGGCAGCAGUGGGGAAUUUUGGACAAUGGGCGCAAGCCUGAUCCAGCAAUGCCGCGUGCAGGAUGAAGGCCUUCGGGUUGUAAACUGCUUUGUACGGAACGAAACGGUGAGCUCUAAUACAGUUUGCUAAUGACGGUACCGUAAGAAUAAGCACCGGCUAACUACGUG
rnacentral:rRNA from 1 species